GUGAAAGCAACCUGACGGUACCAGAGGAAUCAGCAUCGGCUAACUCCGUGCCAGCAGCCGCGGUAAGACGGAGGAUGCAAGCGUUAUCCGGAAUGAUUGGGCGUAAAGCGUCCGCAGGUGGCAGUUCAAGUCUGCUGUCAAAGACCGGGGCUUAACUUCGGAAAGGCAGUGGAAACUGAACAGCUAGAGUAUGGUAGGGGCAGAGGGAAUUCCUGGUGUAGCGGUGAAAUGCGUAGAGAUCAGGAAGAACAUCGGUGGUCGACGCGGCCG
rnacentral:rRNA from 1 species